rnacentral:rRNA from 1 species
GACAGAGGUCUCAAGCGUUGUUCGGAUUCAUUGGGCGUAAAGGGUGCGUAGGUGGCGCCGUAAGUCGGGUGUGAAAUUUCGAGGCUUAACCUCGAAACUGCAUUCGAUACUGCGGUGCUUGAGGACUGGAGAGGAGACUGGAAUUCAUGGUGUAGCAGUGAAAUGCGUAGAGAUCAUGAGGAAGACCAGUGGCGAAGGCGGGUCUCUGGACAGUUCCUGACACUGAGGCACGAAGGCCAGGGGAGCAAACGGG